rnacentral:rRNA from 1 species
GAUGAACGCUGGCGGCGUGCCUAAUACAUGCAAGUCGAGCGAACAGACGAGGAGCUUGCUCCUCUGACGUUAGCGGCGGACGGGUGAGUAACACGUGGAUAACCUACCUAUAAGACUGGGAUAACUUCGGGAAACCGGAGCUAAUACCGGAUAAUAUACUGAACCACAUGGUUCAAUAGUGAAAGACGGUUUUGCUGUCACUUAUAGAUGGAUCCGCGCCGCAUUAGCUAGUUGGUAAGGUAACGGCUUACCAAGGCAACGAUGCGUAGCCGACCUGAGAGGGUGAUCGGCCACACUGGAACGGAGACACGGUCCAGACUCCUACGGGAGGCAGCAGUAGGGAAUCUUCCGCAAUGGGCGAAAGCCUGACGGAGCAACGCCGCGUGAGUGAUGAAGGUCUUCGGAUCGUAAAACUCUGUUAUUGGGGAAGAACAAAUGUGUAAGUAACUAUGCACGUCUUGACGGUAACUAAUCAGAAAGCCACGGCUAACUACGUG